GAUGAAGAACGUAGUGAAAUGCGAUAAGUAGUGUGAAUUGCAGAAUUCAGUGAAUCAUCGAAUCUUUGAACGCACAUUGCGCCCCUUGGUAUUCCAUGGGGCAUGCCUGUUCGAGCGUCAUUUGUACCUUCAAGCUUUGCUUGGUGUUGGGUGUUUGUCUCGCCUUUGCGUGUAGACUCGCCUUAAAAUAAUUGGCAGCCGGCGUAUUGAUUUCGGAGCGCAGUACAUCUCGCGCUUUGCACUCAUAACGACAGCGUCCAAAAGUACAUUUUUACACUCUUGACCUCGGAUCAGGUAGGGAUACCCGCUGAACUUAAGCAUAUCAAUAAGCGGAGGA
rnacentral:misc_RNA from 1 species